GAUAUUCUCCUUAUCAUGAUAACAUUCCUAUUUCUUACGUGCUUGCAACUUGCCAUGGCGUUUUAUACAUUAUAUGGCUUUACAGAAGAUAGUGGGAUAGUGAAAUAUCUUAAAUAAUAGCGGGUUUUAUUCAAACAUCAUAUCAAAGAUAAAGAUGACUAAGGUGACUAGGAAGAGUCCUUUCAGUUUAUGGUGGGCAAUAAAAGUGAGGAUUCCUUGUUGUAGGAUGAUUUUCAGAGUCAAUACAUAAUAUGUGACCAAAGUCUUCCUCCCUGACCACCAUUUUGCAAGGAAAGCAUUGAUGUGGAUGCUGCAUAAAGAACAUGUUCAUGAUCUUCCUGU